UUUCACCCAUGCACAAUCUGUUCUUAGGUGUUCUAACCAGCAAAGGAACCAUAGAAAGAAAGGAAAGAAGAAGAGAAGUUAAGGUGCUUAAGUGAACAAACUCAAAGGGAGGAAGGUACAUCAAAGGGGAAAGGCAAGGAAAAAGAGUAACUAAGGUGUACCUAAAGAUUUUGAAAAGAAUUGACAAAAGGUAAUAAAUAGAGGAAGCAACAGUUAGGAGGUCUGGUUCUGCAUCAGCACAGAGACAUCAUCAUAACCAGUUGUUCACAAGAUUUGUUCAGAGGUUGUUUAUGUUUGGCAUGUACAUUAAUAGUCUACCAAGAGUCUGUAAAUGAGUAUUGUAAAUAGUAUGAAUAUAACCAAAUGUGUUUACUAUUUUAAGUUAUUAUAUUCUAUUUGUGGUUUUAAUAGUGUGAAAUGAGUAAAUAUUGAAAUUUUAUGACUAGUUUUCACAGGGAUAAUUGCUAAUAAA